rnacentral:tRNA from 1 species
GGUAGGCUAGCUCAGCGGUUAGAGCUUAGGCCUUGUGACCGGAAGGUUCGGGGUUCGAAUCCCGCCUGAAGCA